GCCGCGGUGGCGGAAUUGGUAGACGCGCAGGACUUAAAAUCCUGUAUGGGUAAUACCAUGUGAGGGUUCGAUUCCCUCCCGCGGCACCA
rnacentral:tRNA from 1 species